UGCCUCCUAGCACAAUUGGUAGUGCGCCUGAUUCUGGUUCAGGAGGUUCUAGGUUCGAGCCCUAGGGAGGCAGCCA
rnacentral:tRNA from 1 species